AAGGCCUGAUGUGUGUGAGAUUACCCGCUGAUUUAAGCAUAUAAGUAAGCGGAGGAAAAGAAACUAACUAGGAUUCCCUUAGUAAUGGCGAAUGAACAGGGAUCAGCUCAGUGCCAAAUCGGAAUCACUUGUGGUUCUGAAAUGUGGCUUGAAGGCAGUACCAGUGGCAUCGCGGACGAAAGUCUCUUGGAAAAGAGCGUCAUAGAGGGUGAGAAUCCCGUGAGUCGUUCGCCGUUUGUCACGUACGGUCUGCGUUCUAACGAGUCGCGUUCCUUGGGAUUGGAGCGUAAACGGGUGGUAAAUUUCAUCCAAAGCAAAAUAUAUACUCGAGACCGAUAGCACAAAAGUACCGUGAGGGAAAGGUGAAAAGAACUUUGAGAAGAGGGUUAAAUAGUGCCUGAAAUCGUUGAGAAGGAAGCGGAUGCCGCCGUUGCAUAUGCUGAUUGUAGGAUUGCUGCUCGCUCCUGUCUUCUGCUACUCAUUCACAGACCUGGUCGUGUUGAGCAGUUGUUUGGCAGAUGUUAGUGGUGUUUCCUACUUUCAGUCGUCAGCAUCACUGGCUGAGUGGAAAUAAUCCUUGGAUGCUAAUUGGUUCGCUAUCUGUGAAUUGGUUGCUUCCUUGCGAUACUCACUACUCGGUCAGUGAGGAAGUGCGUUUGCUGGUCAACGAGCUUUCUAACUGUCAUUACCCUGCGCUUUUCGAUUCGUCGAGUGGCCAGGAUGUGGCUUUGAGAUUGUUCGCACUUAGUAAUCGCGAUGCUGGCUUCCAACGGUUGCCUCCGGCCCGUCUUGAAACACGGACCAAGGAGUCUAACGUAUGUGCGAGUGUGUGAGUGGCAAACUUAUACGCGUAAUGAAAGUGAGGCCGUAUGGCCAUGUUGGGGUCACCAACAACCGACCUUGAUCUUCGGUGAAAGGUUUGAGUAUGAGCAUAUCCGUUAGGACCCGAAAGAUGGUGAACUAUGCCUGAGCAGGUGAAGCCAGGGGAAACUCUGGUGGAGGCUCGUAGCGAUACUGACGUGCAAAUCGUUCGUCAGACUUGGG
rnacentral:ncRNA from 1 species